rnacentral:rRNA from 1 species
AUGCGGCGCCUCCACAGAUCCCUCCUCCUCGCCGCCCGCUCCAGCCCCCUCGCCCGCCACCGACCCCCACUCCCUGUCCCUCUCCAUCCCCUUUUCCCUCUCCACCGCCCCCCGCCUCCCCGCACCCUCCCCUUCUCCACCGCAGCCCUACCCACGCCCCCUCCCCGCGAUNNNNNNCCGACCGCCCAGCCCACCGCCGACGCCCUCGCCUCCCUCGAGGCCGCCGAGCGCCAGGAGUCCUCGGGCGACCACCAGAAGGCCCUCGACCUCGCCCUCAAGGCGCUCGGGCCCCUGCAGGAGGCCCACGGCGGCUGGUCGCUCCCCAUCGCGCGCGCGCUCCGCCUCGCGGGCGCCGCGACCUGCCGCCUCGGCUCCCUCGCCGACAGCCUCGACUCCCUGGAGGCCGCCGCCGAGAUCGUCGAUCCCCUGCAGGGCGGGGGCGCCGAGGCCGCCACCGUCGCCGCCGCCGUGCACGACCAGCUCGCGCGCACCAAGACGGCCAUCGGCCGCCGGUGGGAAGCCGUGGCCAGCUUCCAGCGCGCGCUGGAGCUCAAGUGCCGGUUCCUGGGUGCAGGGAGCGCGGAGCUGGGCGAUGCUUACAGGGACGCCGCCGAGGCCUACGCGGGGGUGCUGUGCUUUGAUAAGGCGCUGCCGUUGUGUCUGAAGGCGUUGGAGAUUGCGGAGAAGCGGUCCGGUGAGGGCUCCGCCGAGGCGGCCAAGGUCCGGCGGGUCCUCGUGGUUGCUUAUACCGGGCUGGGUCGCAGCGAGGAGGCGUUGGAGCAGAAUGAGCUUGUUAGGAUGGAGUAUGAGAGGUUGGGGCUGGAUGCAGAGCUUUCUCUGAUUGAAAUCGACGGGGCCAGCCUGCGCAUUCUGUUGGGGAGAACAGAGGACGCGAUGAAUGAACUUAAGAAGGUGAUGAAGCGGGCUAACAAGGAAAGCGAGGAGCGUGCACUAGCAUUUGUCGCGAUGGCGAAGAUUUUGUGCUCUGAGGAGAGGUCCAGCGACUCGAGGCGGUGCUUGGAGAUUGCUCGUGAGACUCUUGAUGCAAAGCGUUCCGUAAACACUGAGCGGGUCGCUGGGGCAUACACCGAGAUAUCAAUGUUGUACGAGUCAAUGAAUGAAUUCGAGAUGUCUUUGUGUUUGAUGAAGAAAACACUUGCAUUUCUCGAGGGUGCCUCAGGGAUGCAGCACAUUCAGGGGAGCAUCUCUGCAAGGAUGGGUUUUCUCCUCCUGCUGACAAAACGAAUUGAUGAGUCUGUUCCUUUUCUGGAGAAAGCUAUUGAGAAGCUGAAGAACUGCUUUGGACCAAUGCAUUUUGGGUUAGGAUUUGCUUACAAGCAUCUGGGCGAGGCUUAUAUUGAAAUGGGCCAACCGGAAUCAUCUAUUAAAUUCUUUGGUCUUGCAAGUGACAUCAUUAAUGCUGCAUUUGGGCCGAAACAUGAGGAUUCCAUUGAGAUCCUUCAGUGCACUGCAAAUGCGUAUGGACUGAUGGGGAGCUACAAGAAUGCCAUGGAUUUUCAACAACGAGUUAUAGAUGCUUAUGAAAGCUGUGGCCCUGGUUCAGACUAUGAGAUAAGAGAAGCUCAUAGGCUUCUAGAGCAGAUAAGGAAGAAGGCAGAAGGAUCACCUUCUGCAGUAUUUCCUGCAAACACAUUGCCCGUGCUUCCUGAAAACUGA